rnacentral:lncRNA from 1 species
GUCCCUAGCUCCAGAUUUAGCCCUUCAUGAUUGAGCAGAUUACUGAGGCCCACCUCCGCCUCUUUCCUCCUCUGUCAAACCAAAGAGCUGCUCCUGAAACAAAGUCUGAAGAUUCUUUGAGAACUGAAUUGACAUGUAGCCCCUUGGUUGUCCCCUUCUGUAGGCUCUCCAGUAUUUACCCAUCUCCAAAGCUCUGAGUGUAGCUGUUGACGAAGUCCCUGAGGUUGGUCAGGAAAAUGAAAGUUUCCUGUUGAUGACACUGACCCUGACAUCCAGGGUUCUGCAUCUCCAGACUCUACGAAUGCCAGUGUUUCAGGGCCAAUGAGAACAGAAACUGCUUUCGUUCUGCCCCAACACACAACAGAAACAGAAGAACUGAAACCUCAGCUGAGGCUUCUGCUCUCGCAUUUCAGUAUCUCUUAUGACGUGGAAGAGCUGAGCGAUGCUUCUAAGGAGACAGAACUUUUUGCCUUGGUUUCCCCAAAAUUUCAAAGCAUCUUCAUGGAACAACAGAGAAUGCAAACGUUUCCAGACUAUAAUGCUGGGAUAGCUAAAGUGGAAAAUUUGAAUUUGGCAGGACCUCGUAGGGCCUUGAAAAAGGGAGCCAACUGGACUUCCUUUAUAAAGAUUAAGCCAAAAUGUGAUCCUUGGCAAAAGAAGCUUUUGACCAAACUAAAAGAACGGAGAAGAAUAGAUGUAUUAAUGCAACUCCAAGCAAAGUUUUUGAAGAAUGAAAACACUAAGGAAGAUGACCUUUCAGUGCAACGAGAUGAAAAUGACCCAGCACUAAUAAAUCUUAGCCAGUGUGCUAAUAAGCCUGUGAAGCAGAAGAAAGAGACAGGGUAAAAUGAAAUCACUUAAUGGUGACUCAAGAAAAUGGAUUAAACACUGGGAAAAAACUGAAUGAUUAAUAUGUCAGUUACAAGUUAACUAAAAAAUAUUUAAGGCUGAAAUAAAAGUAGUGUUAUAGCCGACCA